rnacentral:pre_miRNA from 1 species
AGCACUUCGAAUCCGUGUCGAGACUUCGUCAGACACCAACACAUUAGGGCUGAUCAGACUUCCAAGAUAAGUGGAGUU